CUGCUUUCCUGCCUCAACAGCCAUUGGGAACAGAUACUUUUCAAAGUUUAAGGUUAGAACAAUCUGCAAUAACCAUGUUUAAAUCCAACUGGGAGACAUUGGGAACAAGAGGCUUUGGAACUGAAACACAUUAUCGCACUUGAAAGAGAGGGGCUUCUGGUGUCUCCUGAGGCAGGUGGGUUGUGAGGCCACACUUGUAGAAAUCCUCCUUGGACCUGGCAAGUUGUAAGAAGUGAUUACAUGGCACCAAAAAUGAAGAAGAAACAUUUUUAAAAAUCGUGUAUCUGAAAUGCUGUCAUCUAGCAAUUACUCCAUCACAGCUGCCAUAUUCUUCAUGCUUUGUUUUCAAUCAAACACUAUUUUCCAACACAUCCUAGUGACAAGCAUCGUUGAUCACACAUUGAAUAGAGACUGAAGGAGGAAAACAACCACUUACUGCCCUAAAUCCUGUUGCUUAGCACAGUCAAUUGAACUAGUGUAAGCCCAUUAAAUCAAAGGGGGAUCUGGUGA